UACGUAGGGGGCAAGCGUUGUCCGGAUUUAUUGGGCGUAAAGAGCGUGUAGGCGGCCAGACAGGUCCGUUGUGAAAACUCGAGGCUCAACCUCGAGAUGUCGAUGGAAACCGUCUGGCUAGAGUCCGGAAGAGGAGAGUGGAAUUCCUGGUGUGGCGGUGAAAUGCGCAGAUAUCAGGAGGAACACCGGUGGCGAAGGCGGGUCUCUGGGCCGUAACUGACGCUGAGGAGCGAAAGCAUGGGGAGCGAACAGG
rnacentral:rRNA from 1 species